rnacentral:rRNA from 1 species
CAGCCGCCGCGGUAAUACCGGCGGCCCGAGUGGCGGUCACUAUUAUUGGGCUUAAAGCGUCCGUAGCCGGGUUGGGAAGUCCUCCGGGAAAUCUGGCCGCUUAACGGUCAGAAUGCCGGAGGAUACUCCCAGCCUAGGGAGCGGGAGAGGCCGAGGGGAUUCCCGGAGUAGGGGUGAAAUCCUAUAAUCCCGGGAGGGCCACCUGUGGCGAAGGCGCUCGGCUGGAACGCGUCCGACGGUGAGGGACGAAGGCCAGGGGAGCAAACCGGAUUAGAUACCCGGGUAGUCCUGGCUGUAAACGAUGCGGACUUUGUGUCGGACAAGCUAUGAGCUUGUCCGGUGCCGGAGGGAAACCGUUAAGUCCGCCGCCUGGGGAGUACGGCCGCAAGGCUGAAACUUAAAGGAAUUGGCGGG